UUAUACACAGACUCUUGUUGCCCAGCUGGCAUUUUUCAGGCCAUGUGCCUCCUGAUCUGUGCCGAGAUGUACCAAGUCUCCAGACUGCAGCACAUCUGUGAGCUGUUCAUCAUCACCCAGCUGCAGAGCAUGCCCAGCAGGGAGCUGGCCUCCAUGAACCUUGACAUUGUGGACUUGCUCAAAAAGGCCAAGGUGGUUGGCCUGUGGUUGAGUGGGGAUGGUGCUCUUUUAAUUUAAUUUAAAAUAUGCAUAUACUAAUCCACGUUCCUUGAGUUGGCUGUGCUGUGAACAUUGGCAUUACAGGAAAUAGAAUUUUCUUCCUAUAUUACUGAAAGGAAAAUGGCAGGAUUAGUCUGUAUACUAACUGACAUAGUUACCAAAGCUCUUUUCUCCCUUAUUCAUUCAU
rnacentral:lncRNA from 1 species